rnacentral:rRNA from 1 species
AUACGUAGGGUGCGAGCGUUAAUCGGAAUUACUGGGCGUAAAGCGUGCGCAGGCGGUUUUGUAAGACAGAGGUGAAAUCCCCGGGCUCAACCUGGGAACUGCCUCUGUGACUGCAAGGCUAGAGUACGGCAGAGGGGGAUGGAAUUCCGCGUGUAGCAGUGAAAUGCGUAGAUAUGCGGAGGAACACCGAUGGCGAAGGCAAUCCCCUGGGCCUGUACUGACGCUCAUGCACGAAAGCGUGGGGAGCAAACAGAAUUAGAUACCCUAGUAGUCC